UGGAAGCGUCUGGAAAGGCGCGCGAUACAGGGUGACAGCCCCGUACACAAAAAUGCACAUACUGUGAGCUCGAUGAGUAGGGCGGGACACGUGGUAUCCUGUCUGAAUAUGGGGGGACCAUCCUCCAAGGCUAAAUACUCCUGACUGACCGAUAGUGAACCAGUACCGUGAGGGAAAGGCGAAAAGAACCCCGGCGAGGGGAGUGAAAAAGAACCUGAAACCGUGUACGUACAAGCAGUGGGAGCACAGAGCAAUCUGUGUGACUGCGUACCUUUUGUAUAAUGGGUCAGCGACUUAUAUUCUGUAGCAAGGUUAACCGAAUAGGGGAGCCGAAGGGAAACCGAGUCUUAACUGGGCGUUAAGUUGCAGGGUAUAGACCCGAAACCCGGUGAUCUAGCCAUGGGCAGGUUGAAGGUUGGGUAACACUAACUGGAGGACCGAACCGACUAAUGUUGAAAAAUUAGCGGAUGACUUGUGGCUGGGGGUGAAAGGCCAAUCAAACCGGGAGAUAGCUGGUUCUCCCCGAAAGCUAUUUAGGUAGCGCCUCGUGAAUUCAUCUCCGGGGGUAGAGCACUGUUUCGGCAAGGGGGUCAUCCCGACUUACCAACCCGAUGCAAACUGCGAAUACCGGAGAAUGUUAUCACGGGAGACACACGGCGGGUGCUAACGUCCGUCGUGAAGAGGGAAACAACCCAGACCGCCAGCUAAGGUCCCAAAGUCAUGGUUAAGUGGGAAACGAUGUGGGAAGGCCCAGACAGCCAGGAUGUUGGCUUAGAAGCAGCCAUCAUUUAAAGAAAGCGUAAUAGCUCACUGGUCGAGUCGGCCUGCGCGGAAGAUGUAACGGGGCUAAACCAUGCAC
rnacentral:rRNA from 1 species